UGUAGCUUAGUGGUAGAGUGCUUGCCUAGCAUGCAUGAAGCCCUGGGUUAGAUUCCUCAGCA
rnacentral:tRNA from 1 species